rnacentral:rRNA from 1 species
UACGUAGGGGGCGAGCGUUGUCCGGGAUGACUGGGCGUAAAGGGCGUGUAGGCGGCUUUUUAAGUCUGGAGUGAAAGUCCUGUUUUCAAGAUGGGAAUUGCUUUGGAUACUGGAGAGCUUGAGUGCAGAAGAGGUAAGCGGAAUUCCCAGUGUAGCGGUGAAAUGCGUAGAGAUUGGGAGGAACACCAGUGGCGAAGGCGGCUUACUGGGCUGUAACUGACGCUGAGGCGCGAAAGCGUGGGGAGCGAAC